CUAUACAUGACUCUGUGCAUAUCAAUAAGCGGAGGAAAAGAAACUAACAAGGAUUCCCUUAGUAACGGCGAGUGAAGCGGGAAGAGCUCAAAUUUGAAAUCUUCAAGGUUCUACCUUGACGAAUUGUAGUUUAUAGAAGUGUUUUCUGUUAGUAGGAGUGGCAAAAGUUCUUUGGAAUAGGACAUCAUAGAGGGUGAGAAUCCCGUAUUUGGUCAUUCCUUCUAGCGUUGUGAUACACUUUCAACGAGUCGGAUUGUUUGGGAAUGCAGUCCAAAAUGGGUGGUAAAUUUCAUCUAAAGCUAAAUAUUGGCGAGAGACCGAUAGCGAACAAGUACCGUGAGGGAAAGAUGAAAAGAACUUUGAAAAGAGAGUUAAACAGUACGUGAAAUUGUCAAAAGGGAAGCGUUUGACACCAGUGUUGUUUUCCGAAAAUCAAUUACGAAUGUUUUGUUUUUGAGAAGUUAUGACUUCAUCGGCUUGCUUCUUUCUUUACGAAACUUUCUUAAUGCACUUUUCGGUUAACAAGUCAACAUCAAUUUCUUUUGUUGUAAAAGGGUACGAGGAAGGUGGCUUUCUUUUCGGAGAAAGUGUUUAUAGCCUUGUACCUCUGCAAUCGGAGAGAUUGAGGUCUGCAGCGUAGAUCCUUCGGGGUUAGAUACAGUUAGAUGCUAAGUUAUAGCUUUUUCAUAGACAACUUGUUGACUAUGUUUAGUCUUGUAGCUUACUCGCUUAUGCUAUUUUACCUACGCUUAGGAUGUUGAUAGUCACAGCGUGUAC
rnacentral:rRNA from 1 species